rnacentral:lncRNA from 1 species
UGUGUAAUCAGCCAUCAGCCUGCUGCCAUUUUUCACCAAGAUGGACUAUAUCCUUGAACUGUGAGCCAAGGAUUUUCCCCCAUCAGUCCCUGUGCUCCCAUUCACUGGCCUUGGUGUAGUCAGAGAGGAAGAGAACCUAAAAGUAGGCCUCUUUUCAGAAUUCAGUGGAAGGGACUUUUAUGACCUCAGCCUUUGAAGAGGAGAGCUGCAUCCAGGGAUAGCUGGCCACUGCUCUCUGAGCCACAGCACCAUGCUACCAUGCUACCAUCCUCUGUUAUUCCCAGACCAAGGAUAUACCAGAUAGAAGAAGGAGAAGAAGGAGAAGAAGGAGAAGAAGGAGAAGGAGAAGGAGAAGGAGAAGGAACAAAGAAACAAAGAAAGCAGAAUUGGAAGAUUUCACUUAGAAAUAUGUUGUUGGCUUAAAUUGGAAAAACUCAAACUCCAAAGACAGAUGUUGAAUUAAAAAUUUUUUUCCGAUUAG